GCUCAGCUGGCACCAGCUUUGAGCUUUGGCUCCUCCAGUUAUUGCUCACGCGUUUCCCCACAUCUUCAUACCCUUCUCUUCUUUCUUAACUCUACAACUACAAGCAUUUCCUUUGCCCUAUAUAUACAUAUAUAUAGUAUAGCUCUCAUGCACUAAAACCUCUCAUUCACAAGCAACGAUUUCUCUCUAAAGUCUAAACAUGGCCUUUUCUUCUAAUGGGUUCUCUAUGUUUGUAUUGGUUUGUCUAGUGGUAAUUAGCUCUUUAUCAGUCGCCACUUGUGCUGGUAACUUCUACCAAGACUUUGACAUAAAAUGGGGUGGUAGCCGUGCCAAGAUAUUCAAAGCAGGACAGCUUUUGUCUCUGUCUCUAGACCCAGUUUCUGGUUCUGGCUUCCAGUCCAAGAAAGAAUACCUAUUUGGGAGGAUUGAUAUGCAGCUCAAACUUGUUGCUGGCAACUCUGCUGGCACUGUAACUGCCUACUAUUUGUCUUCUCAGGGGCCAACUCAUGAUGAAAUUGACUUCGAGUUCUUGGGAAACCUUAGUGGUGACCCUUAUAUACUACACACCAAUGUGUUCACUCAGGGCAAGGGUAACAGGGAGCAACAGUUCUAUCUCUGGUUCGAUCCCACAAGAAAUUUUCACACGUUAUUCCAUCAUCUGGAAGCCCCAACACAUAAUUUUCUUGGUUGAUAACACUCCCAUAAGAGUAUUCAAGAAUGCUGAAUCGAUUGGUGUUCCCUUCCCUAAGAGCCAACCUAUGAAGAUUUACUCUAGCCUCUGGAACGCUGACGAUUGGGCAACAAGAGGAGGAUUGGUGAAAACUGAUUGGUCUAAGGCACCCUUUACAGCUUACUACCGGAACUUCAACGUUAAGGCUUCCACUUCUUUCUCCGAUUCUACAUGGCAUACCAAUGAGCUUGAUGCCCCUGGCCGAAGAAGACUGAGAUGGGUUCAGAAAUACUUCAUGAUUUACAACUACUGCAGUGAUUUAAAACGCUUCCCUGGAGGUCUUCCACCUGAGUGCAAACGGUCAAGAUUUCUCUAAAUAGAUCACUCUUUCUGGUAGAAUUUUGAAUGGAGUCUGUAAUAUAUAUAUAUUAGUCCACGGGUGGAAACUCUUUAUAAAUUCCUCUUUGAUCAAGUUUCACUUAGCUUGAAAUUUAGGGGUCAAAUAAAAUAAAUUAUAUUCUUUUGCUGUGUUCUGUUUGUUACCGCUUAGCAGGGAGUUGAUGCCACCUUCUGUGUUCAUCCACCCUGUAAAGUUGUUGAAUCACGAUGUUUGAAUAUAUAUAUAUAUAUAUAUAUGUAUGUUCAUAUGAUAAAA